rnacentral:rRNA from 1 species
UAAUUGAAGAGUUUGAUCAUGGCUCAGAUUGAACGCUGGCGGCAGGCCUAACACAUGCAAGUCGAGCGGCAGCACAGAGAAACUUGUUUCUCGGGUGGCGAGCGGCGGACGGGUGAGUAAUGCCUGGGAAAUUGCCCUGAUGUGGGGGAUAACCAUUGGAAACGAUGGCUAAUACCGCAUGAUGCCUACGGGCCAAAGAGGGGGACCUUCGGGCCUCUCGCGUCAGGAUAUGCCCAGGUGGGAUUAGCUAGUUGGUGAGGUAAGGGCUCACCAAGGCGACGAUCCCUAGCUGGUCUGAGAGGAUGAUCAGCCACACUGGAACUGAGACACGGUCCAGACUCCUACGGGAGGCAGCAGUGGGGAAUAUUGCACAAUGGGCGCAAGCCUGAUGCAGCCAUGCCGCGUGUGUGAAGAAGGCCUUC